GGGUUGUGAGGUUAAGCGACUAAGCGUACACGGUGGAUGCCCUGGCAGUCAGAGGCGAUGAAGGACGUGCUAAUCUGCGAAAAGCGUCGGUAAGGUGAUAUGAACCGUUAUAACCGGCGAUGUCCGAAUGGGGAAACCCAGUGCAAUUCGUUGCACUAUCGUUAACUGAAUACAUAGGUUAACGAGGCGAACCGGGGGAACUGAAACAUCUAAGUACCCCGAGGAAAAGAAAUCAACCGAGAUUCCCCCAGUAGCGGCGAGCGAACGGGGAGCAGCCCAGAGUCUGAAUCAGCUUGUGUGUUAGUGGAACGGUCUGGAAAGUCCGACGGUACAGGGUGAUAGUCCCGUACACCAAAAUGCACAGGCUGUGAACUCGAAGAGUAGGGCGGGACACGUGGUAUCCUGUCUGAAUAUGGGGGGACCAUCCUCCAAGGCUAAAUACUCCUGACUGACCGAUAGUGAACCAGUACCGUGAGGGAAAGGCGAAAAGAACCCCGGCGAGGGGAGUGAAAAAGAACCUGAAACCGUGUACGUACAAGCAGUGGGAGCACCUUCGGGUGUGACUGCGUACCGUUUGUAUAAUGGGUCAGCGACUUAUAUUCUGUAGCAAGGUUAACCGUAUAGGGGAGCCGCAGGGAAACCGAGUCUUAACUGGGCGUUAAGUUGCAGGGUAUAGACCCGAAACCCGGUGAUCUAGCCAUGGGCAGGUUGAAGGUUGGGUAACACUAACUGGAGGACCGAACCGACUAAUGUUGAAAAAAUUAGCGGAUGACUUGUGGCUGGGGUGAAAGGCCAAUCAAACCGGGAGAUAGCUGGUUCUCCCCGAAAGCUAUUUAGGUAGCGCCUCGUGAAUUCAUCUUCGUGGGUAGAGCACUGUUUCGGCUAGGGGGUCAUCCCGACUUACCAACCCGAUGCAAACUACGAAUACCGAAGAAUGUUAUCACGGGAGACACACGGCGGGUGCUAACGUCCGUCGUGAAGAGGGAAACAACCCAGACCGCCAGCUAAGGUCCCAAAGUCAUGGUUAAGUGGGAAACGAUGUGGGAAGGCACAGACAGCCGGGAUGUUGGCUUAGAAGCAGCCAUCAUUUAAAGAAAGCGUAAUAGCUCACUGGUCGAGUCGGCCUGCGCGGAAGAUGUAACGGGGCUAAACCAUGCACCGAAGCUGCGGCAGCGACACUAUGUGUUGUUGGGUAGGGGAGCGUUCUGUAAGCCUGCGAAGGUGUGCUGUGAGGCAUGCUGGAGGUAUCAGAAGUGCGAAUGCUGACAUAAGUAACGAUAAAGCGGGUGAAAAGCCCGCUCGCCGGAAGACCAAGGGUUCCUGUCCAACGUUAAUCGGGGCAGGGUGAGUCGACCCCUAAGGCGAGGCCGAAAGGCGUAGUCGAUGGGAAACAGGUUAAUAUUCCUGUACUUGGUGUUACUGCGAAGGGGGGACGGAGAAGGCUAUGUUAGCCGGGCGACGGUUGUCCCGGUUUAAGCAUGUAGGCUGGUUGUCCAGGCAAAUCCGGAUAAUCAAGGCUGAGGUGUGAUGACGAGGCACUACGGUGCUGAAGUAACAAAUGCCCUGCUUCCAGGAAAAGCCUCUAAGCAUCAGGUAACAUCAAAUCGUACCCCAAACCGACACAGGUGGUCAGGUAGAGAAUACCAAGGCGCUUGAGAGAACUCGGGUGAAGGAACUAGGCAAAAUGGUGCCGUAACUUCGGGAGAAGGCACGCUGGUGUGUAGGUGAAGCCCUGCGGGUGGAGCUGAGACCAGUCGAAGAUACCAGCUGGCUGCAACUGUUUAUUAAAAACACAGCACUGUGCAAACACGAAAGUGGACGUAUACGGUGUGACGCCUGCCCGGUGCCGGAAGGUUAAUUGAUGGGGUUAUCCGUAAGGAGAAGCUCUUGAUCGAAGCCCCGGUAAACGGCGGCCGUAACUAUAACGGUCCUAAGGUAGCGAAAUUCCUUGUCGGGUAAGUUCCGACCUGCACGAAUGGCGUAAUGAUGGCCAGGCUGUCUCCACCCGAGACUCAGUGAAAUUGAACUCGCUGUGAAGAUGCAGUGUACCCGCGGCAAGACGGAAAGACCCCGUGAACCUUUACUAUAGCUUGACACUGAACAUUGAGCCUUGAUGUGUAGGAUAGGUGGGAGGCUUUGAAGCGUGGACGCCAGUCUGCGUGGAGCCAACCUUGAAAUACCACCCUUUAAUGUUUGAUGUUCUAACGUUGGCCCCUGACCGGGGUUGCGGACAGUGUCUGGUGGGUAGUUUGACUGGGGCGGUCUCCUCCCAAAGCGUAACGGAGGAGCACGAAGGUUAGCUAAUCCCUCGGUCGGACAUCAGGAGGUUAGUGCAAUGGCAUAAGCUAGCUUGACUGCGAGCGUGACGGCGCGAGCAGGUGCGAAAGCAGGUCAUAGUGAUCCGGUGGUUCUGAAUGGAAGGGCCAUCGCUCAACGGAUAAAAGGUACUCCGGGGAUAACAGGCUGAUACCGCCCAAGAGUUCAUAUCGACGGCGGUGUUUGGCACCUCGAUGUCGGCUCAUCACAUCCUGGGGCUGAAGUAGGUCCCAAGGGUAUGGCUGUUCGCCAUUUAAAGUGGUACGCGAGCUGGGUUUAGAACGUCGUGAGACAGUUCGGUCCCUAUCUGCCGUGGGCGCUGGAGAAUUGAGGGGGCUGCUCCUAGUACGAGAGGACCGGAGUGGACGCAUCACUGGUGUUCGGGUUGUCAUGCCAAUGGCACUGCCCGGUAGCUAAAUGCGGAAGAGAUAAGUGCUGAAAGCAUCUAAGCACGAAACUUGCCCCGAGAUGAGUUCUCCCUGAGACUUUAAGUCUCCUGAAGGAACGUUGAAGACGACGACGUUGAUAGGCCGGGUGUGUAAGCGCAGCGAUGCGUUGAGCUAACCGGUACUAAUGAACCGUGAGGCUUAACCUUACAACGCCGAAG
rnacentral:rRNA from 1 species